rnacentral:rRNA from 1 species
UGCCUUGAGGCGUGGCUUCCGGAGCUAACGCGUUAAGUCGACCGCCUGGGGAGUACGGCCGCAAGGUUAAAACUCAAAUGAAUUGACGGGGGCCCGCACAAGCGGUGGAGCAUGUGGUUUAAUUCGAUGCAACGCGAAGAACCUUACCUACUCUUGACAUCCAGAGAACUUUCCAGAGAUGGAUUGGUGCCUUCGGGAACUCUGAGACAGGUGCUGCAUGGCUGUCGUCAGCUCGUGUUGUGAAAUGUUGGGUUAAGUCCCGCAACGAGCGCAACCCUUAUCCUUUGUUGCCAGCGGUUCGGCCGGGAACUCAAAGGAGACUGCCAGUGAUAAACUGGAGGAAGGUGGGGAUGACGUCAAGUCAUCAUGGCCCUUACGAGUAGGGCUACACACGUGCUACAAUGGCGCAUACAAAGAGAAGCGACCUCGCGAGAGCAAGCGGACCUCAUAAAGUGCGUCGUAGUCCGGAUUGGAGUCUGCAACUCGACUCCAUGAAGUCGGAAUCGCUAGUAAUCGUAGAUCAGAAUGCUACGGUGAAUACGUUCCCGGGCCUUGCACCC